GUGCACAUUACCUAGUUAAUCUGCAUAUUACCUACUAGGUACUCGUUAAAGUGCACAACAAUCAUUCUGUCCUCCAUCUCUCUGAGGGGCUCACAGCUCUGGAUUAUACCAUGGUGUGCACAGGCUGCUGUUCUGUUCUUGUCUGGAGUCAAGAACAUAGUCACAUACCUCUUCAAACAGUUAUCUUGAACUGGUAAGAAACAAGGAGCCCCCACCACCACAAGAGAGCGAGUGCUUCCUGCACAUUAUACAGCAACACCCUGAAAUGAUCCCAGCAGAUGCUCUCCACUGUUCUCAAUAUCAUCAUAUAUUUGAAGACUGUCGGAAUCAGUGGUCCAUGAGCAGACCUCUCCUUGGUCUCAUUCUCCUCAAUGAGAGAAGUACUUCUCGAACUCAGGGAGCAGCAUUGUUAGUAGCCAGCCCACCUAUGAGAAACAACAAGCCAUGCGCCUAUGCUUUGAGAAUUUGAUGGUGGAGGGCAUUGAUAGGAACCUGCUCACAAAAAGAAUCGAGACAGGGUUCACACAGAAUCCUUCACACAAAAUGCCUUCAGACGAGAAGUGAACGACUCUGCAGAGACUGCACUGAAAGGGUUCUGCAAGGACGUUUUUGUAAUAAAUCAUUUCCCCUUUUACUGAGGGAAAG